UGAGAUUUGGGUGGAGACACACAGCCAAACCAUAUCAAUCAAAAAAAAAGAGAAAAGCUUCUAUAGAAUUGUGGUCUGGCAUCCUGACAGCAAAUGUCGAUUUCCUUAUGAAGAUAAAAUCCUUUUAAUUAUCAGAGUAAGCACCCUCCAAAUGCCCCACCAUAUAGUCUUAAAGUGUGGAAAUAUAUUCCUUUUUCAUUCUUUAUGGAAUAAACAGAGAGAGCGGUACAAGUUGUUGAGGAGUGGCCUUUGGUCCUCUGUGUCAGGAAUGCAGAAAGGAUAAGGCUCCCAAUUGUGCUGUCAAGUCAAAAGAUGCUGAUAGAACUUGUGGGGGAGACACAGCUUUCACCCUUGGGUUACUGACUCAUUUUGCAGGAAGAUGACCAUCUUUUACUGCCCAACGACAUCUUUCUACCAAUGUGAACAGAGACUAGCAGCACAGUGAUCACCUGCAGAUAGACCUGGCUUUAUCUGUACAUAACACCAAAAGAAAAAACCUGGAUUCCAGAAGGAAAUAAAGAUUUUCAGUCCCUGCAAGAAUUCUCAAUGUUCUUCACAUAAUUUGGAGAAGAGAGAGACACAGGGGGAAGAUGGCCAUGUGAAGAUGGAGGCAGAGACUGGAGUGAUACAUCCACAAGCUAUGGAAUGCCAAGGUUUGCCAGCCAUUUAUAAGAAGCUAGGAGACAGGCGUGGAACACAUUCUCCCUCUGAACCCUCAGAAGGAACCAACACUGCCGACAUUUUGAUUCCGGACUUCUGACCUCCAGAACAAGAACCCAGACUAGCCCCAGCACUCCAGGCAAUCACCACCAAACAAUGAGAGUUGGCACAGGAUACAAGACUUCUGUCCUUCUAUGACAUGGAUUUCUUCAGCAUCCAGGUGUGCAGGGUUUCUGAGCCAGGAGCAGUUGAGGAGUGGGAAGAACAUCUGGAAAGACUGGGAGUAAGGACG
rnacentral:lncRNA from 1 species